rnacentral:lncRNA from 1 species
UUCUCUAACUCUCUUGUACCCAUCAUAAUAAUAAUUAAUAGUGUGCAAUACCCAAAUUAACCUCGACAUUAUUGUAAUACCCUAAUUUUGCCCGGCCCAAAUUAAAUAAAUAAACAAAAAAAUAUAUAAAAAAUAAAAAUAAAAACAAAAACAAAAUUAUUAAAAGUCUAUCAGUCCAGCAAACCCAAAAUACAACCUAAGUCCAUUUACAGAUAGCCCAAUAACCCAAACACUAAACCCAAUUAGCCUUAGCCUAAGCCCAAUAACCCUAACCCAGCC